rfam:Cavia porcellus supercont2_0 genomic scaffold, whole genome shotgun sequence.
UGGUGCCCGUCGUGGGGCUCCUGGCACGAAGGGCUCAACAAAGGAGCCGUCCUGAGACGCACACGUAAAAAGGAAACUAAGAGUUUUGUGCGUCGUUAGAGUCAUGGUAAGUGGACGGUGAUCCUUUCCCUUUUUUUCCCCCCGGCAUGGGUCAGACAUUAAGUGAUCAUAAAGGCUUUGUGUCCGGUUUAAGUAAAGCUUUAAAGACAAGAGGGAUAAAGGCUAAAGAAAAAGAUUUAUUGCAGUACUUUCAAUUUAUUCAUAAGGUUUGCCAUU